rnacentral:sRNA from 1 species
CGGCUGACUGCACUGCAUUCCCCCUUUGAAAGGAUGCCAUCCCCCUUUCGCUACGCUCUUUCCCCCCUUUGAAGGGGGGCUGGGGGGGAUGUCCCUCUGCGCUCGGAUACCGUGUACCCGGCAUAACAAUUAACAAUUAACCAUUGACAAUUAACAAUUAAUUUGUCAUUCAGAGCGUAAGCGAAGAAUCUCUUCCCUCUUCCCCGUGAGAUUCCUCACUACGUUCGGAAUGACAAAGGGCGGCGUUCGGAUACCGUGUACCCGGCAUAACAAUUGACAAUUGACAAUUAACAACUGAAUUACGUCAGGCUUUCAGCCCUCCGCCGAGGGGUCGCCCUGUUUCCCAACGCUUCGCAUUGGGCUGAAUUAAUGAGCCCUUUCAGGGCUGUUUUCCAAUUGUUAGUUGUUAAUGGUUAUUUUUCAGGUACAUGAUUCGGCGUGUACCACGCAUAACCAUUAACCAUUGACAAUUAACAAUUAAUG